GAUGAAGAACGUAGCGAAAUGCGAUACUUGGUGUGAAUUGCAGAAUCCCGCGAAUCAUCGAGUUUUUGAACGCAAGUUGCGCCCGAAGCCAUUCGGCUGAGGGCACGUCUGCCUGGGUGUCACGCAUCGUUGCCCCCCCAAACUCCGGUUCGGGCGGGGCGGAAGUUGGCCUCCCGUGCGUGCCUGCGCGCGCGGUUAGCCCAAAAGCGAGUCCUCGGCGAUGAGCGCCACGACAAUCGGUGGUUUUUUUACCCUCGUUCCUCGUCGUGCGUGCCCCGUCGCCCGAACGCGCUCUUGCAACCCUUACGCGUCGCCUCGGUGGCGCUCCCAACGCGUCCCCAGGUCAGGCGGGACUACCCGCUGAGUUUAAGCAUAUCAAUAAGCGGAGGA
rnacentral:misc_RNA from 1 species